AGAUAUCUACAUAUACCAUUGUUGAUGAUUCUGCAUGUUGCAUAUGUAUUUCCAGAAGACAUUUGUCAAGAAGUUGGAAAAGAUGUUCUGCUUCCGUGUGCUUUCCCAGUGUCAGAGUUUGAAAAAAGUUCGAAAAAUAUUAUUUGGAGAAAAUCACCAGAAAUUAUUGUGUACAUUUCUAAUGAGAAACAUCUUAUAGAUCAGCAUUAUAGAAAUCGAGCUGAGUUAUCUCAGACACUUUCAAGAAAUGCUUCAUUACAUUUGUAUAAUAUCAGCAAAGCAGGUGAAGGAACUUACAAGUGCUUUCUUGACCAUACAACAUUAUCUCAUGAAGUAAAACUUACUGUUAAAGAGCCAAUAACAACCACUGAGAGCACCGCAAGAAAUCAGGAUCUUAUAGCACCUGGAAACAGCAGUGUGAAAAUAAUCUUAGAAAACAGUCUUGCACUGUCUAUUUUUGUAUUGUUUCUUCUGCAGUAUUUAGGAUAAUAAUCAGCUGUUAUUUUAAAGGUACACUCAAUUUUUUUAUAAUAUAAAAUGAAAAAUUAAUUGUAAUUAGACAUUCAUUGAAAAUUUGAUGUAUGGCCUAAAGUUGCAUCAGAGGAUGGCAUCAUAGAGUGGAUUCAUUAUUUGAUUAUUUUCUGGUGCUUAAUGUGGCUCAGUCAGCUUAGGAGCAUAGCAAAGUUUGUUUGUUUCAGCUGUAUUGUCCAAGGUGCCAUAGAGCAAAAGCAAACAAACCUUUACUGAAACUUAAAAGCAGUAGCCAUACAUUGACUGUAGAUACAAAAGAUACAACUGCUAAUGUUUCAUAUUUAAGAAAAGUCAAUGAAAAGUAGACAGAGAACAUAGUUUACAAGCAGAUUCUCAGAUCCUGGGAAUUACACUUCAAACUGUCACCAGCUAUGAAACCUCACUUAAAAGGUUUUAGGAACAUGUAAUACUGGACACACUUAGAGACCUUCAAACACAGUGGCAGAACUCCGGAGAUGAGUUCAUCCUUUUACCCUUGGGUUUCACCGUUUUGAGGAGGAAGGCUGCAGGUGAUGUCCUCCAAGGCUCACUGUGGCUUAUAUUCCUAUUGUGUACAACAUCAUGAAAAGCUAAGAGUGUAGAAAGUCUGGAGUAUAUAAAUAAAAGUACAAAAUUCACCAGCUUCUAAAGUCGGCCUGUGAUGACCUGCAGUGAUGGCAGAGGUGGGUAGAGUAGCCAAAAAUUGUACUCAAGUAAGAGUAGCGUUACUUCAAAAUAAUAUUACUCAAGUAGAAGUAAAAAGUAGUCAUCUAAAAAAUAACUCAAGCAAGAGUAAAAAAGCAUUUGGUGAAAAGACAACUCAAGUGCUGAGUAACUGUUUGAUCAUAAUAAAUGAUUUAUUUUUUAGAAAUGUUGUAAUAAGACAGACAAAAAUAUAAAAUAAUGUGCAAAUUCUGCUAUUUCCAAAUAAUAAAAUAAAAAAUGAGUAAAAAUAAAUAACAUCUUUACAAAAUUAAGAUGCACAAAUAACACAAAGUUCCAAAUCUCAGUUUUUCACAACAAAGAUUUUGAAGCCGAUACCUACAGUAGGUAACAUGUAUGUUUGAACAGUGCAAAGUACUUACAGUGAUGAGAGCUACUGUACACUGACAGUAGAAUACUGCAUAGUCACUUGCCAUCCAAAUAGCACAGCAGAUAGAAAAUAACAUUAGAACAAGGCAGCUUGUGCACGUCCAACAAGUCUCACUUUACCUCGACUGUCUGUGUCUGUGUAUGUUCAGUUAAAACCUGCUUGUUCUUCGCUCCGUGAAGUGAUGGUUAAGCUUCAGCAGGAGUUGGCUCUCAUUUUUCAUGUAUUCUUUCUUUCCCUGUCCACUGUCUAUGAGGAGUUUGUGCCGCUAUGCUGCCACAGUUUGUGUGUGGUCAUGUGACUGCAUGGCUACGUCUGAAUGGUGAAACGGAGUCUUGUGAUUAUUGUCGCUAUGUCUGAGUGGUGAAACAGUCAUGCAGUAGAUCCACUGGCAACUUCUCUCUGGCAAAAAUCUAGUGUAUCUAAUGGAAAAAAAGGAACGAUUCGAGUGUUGCCCAAUGUAGUGGAGUAAGAGUAGCGUUUCUUCUUCACAAAUGUACUCAAGAAAAAGUAAAAAGUGCUGUGCAGUAAAACUACUCUUACAAGUAUAAUUUAUAUAAAAAGUUACUCAAGUAAAUGUAAUGGAGUAAAUGUAACUCGUUACUACCCAUCUCUGAGUGAUGGUCACCUUUCUUUAUCCAAGAGCAUUAAUAGUCAUGACAGAGGAUGGACCAGGGCAAGUGAGCAAACGAGUGAGGCUUACUUUUUAAAAGUGAAGCAGGUUGUAGCAAAAUCAGUAGAAUUAAAGCAGGGCUGUCUUACCAGCCACAUAGGCUCCCUGGCAAAGUAAUGUACUGGGGCCCCUGUUUUGACAGCAAAAUACAAAUAUACAUAGGCAUCAGAAACAUCGUGGGCCCCUAUGCUCUUGGGGCCUUUGGCCAGUGGCCAUUAUGCUCAUACAUGAAGACGGCCCUGAAUUAAAGUGUUUCUAAAGAGAUGUGCAAAACAGUGUAUACAUUUAGUAAGCCAUUUCAGUAAAUUAUUCUUUAAAAAAAAUCCAUGCCUUCAAACAAAAGCAGUGUCUUAAGGUGAUUAACUGAAAAGGAAAUCCAAAUAAUCACAUUUAAAACCACGUGUUCUCUUGAAAGACAGUUUUCCGCUGUUAGAAUGUCCAAAUAGAUGCACCAAAUACAGCCUGCUAUAUCCCAAUUUACCUUGUGGAGUAACAACUGCCACUUCAUCCAGUCACUGCACUUCCCCGGAGCUGCCACCUCUGACAGUCACCGGAGUUUCUUGCCCUCUCGAUGGAGCCCACCAUGCAUCACAGCGAAACCCAACCAUCCUUCUGGUAUGCUCAAAUGUCUUGUUCUGAUUGUCUCCAAUUUGACUGACAGGCUUAAAGAGGGACAAUUCAGCUUUCCAAUGUUGUGCUGAUCAGAAGAUAGGACAAUCUCAAUGUCGAUACUAAAGUGUCCUCUUUCACUUGCCAACAAUUGGACUGCCUGUUUGUAAAUGAAAAUGAUGGGCUGGUCAUUCAGCAUUCAGCUUCUGCUCUUUACAGCAAGGUAGUCUGUGCCUUUCUACUUCCUAUUGAUUGUGAGAGAUUGAUAAAGAAGUCACAGCUUGUUGUCUUUUUUAAAUGCUACAGGCAGUAACUUAGAGAGAAAUAAAAGUAAUAGCGUACUUCAAAAAACUACAGGAUGAGCCAAAAAGAAGUACCACAUUUCAAACGUUUAUUCCACAAAAAUGCUACAAGAUAAAAUACAUUUCAUUACGACACAAGAAAGGGUAUACAAAAUAGAUUUUUUUCCACUUUGUUUUAAAAACCAUGUCGUUAAGGUGGUGGCCAUCAUUAGCGAUUCACUCUUCAAGAUGAUUUCUGAACACUUGCAUGACUCGUUUGGCCAUUUCAUGGCGAAUAGCGUCCUUGAGGGCUUCAAGGUUUUGAGGUUGGUCUGUGUAUACCUUCAACUUCAGAUAACCCCACAAGAAGAAAUCGCAUGGAGCGAGAUCAGGCGAACAUAAAGGCUACCUGACAGGGAGAUCAGCUUCCCUGGAAACAACUUGCAUGGGUCUCCACGCCGCAGGAGCUGUUUCUCCAUCACGCUGAAACCAGGCAUCCACCACAUCCAUUUGUUCCAUUUUGCAAUAAGGUCUCUAGCAGUUCAAUGUAACAUUCUGAAGUGAUCGUGACCAUUGCUCAAAAAAGUAAAGGUCUACAAUGCCAAUUUCUGCAACAGCGCACCAAACUGUAACAUGUUGACUGUGCAGGAGUCUCUGAUGAAGUUCACGAGGGUUGGUUUCAAUCCAAUAGCAAUGCUUAUUUAUGCAAACAUUCAAAUGGACAGGCCCUGUCUUAGGUAUUAUGGGGCCCUAGGCGAAAGGGGGGUCCAGGGGCCCCCUGAGGGGGGCAGAGCCCCCCUGGAAGCUCUGCGAAAUGCGUGAAAAUUAGACCAAGGAGACAUACUGACAGACAGGGGUUUCGUUCGUUCUCGCAACUCAGAUUGCGGUUCUGCCUUCCCGCUCCCGUGCCACCUGCUGCCACUGACGAGGUGGAAGGAUUUAUGAGAUCUUGACUUCUUCUUUCUUCUUCGACGAAUGAUGAUGAGGGCUGAUUCACUGAUGUGAACGUUCGACCCAUAGAGAUCUUGACUCAAACCGCUCCGCUUUUAUAAACAGCCGCCCACGCGGACACGCCCCCGCUGGCCCACGUGAUUUAAACAUGCGAGUUGAGGGGCGGGUCGGGGGCCUGGCCGCCGUCGAUCCGGGGCCCUAGGCGGUCGCCUACUUCGCCUAUGCCUAAGGCCGGGCCUGAAAUGGAAAUGUGUCUCGUCGCUGCACUUGACAAUGGUAUCUCGAUGAACAAUUUGUAGAAUGUUGGCCCACAACUAUCUAUGGCUCUCCCAGUGUCUCUUACUGAGUUCCUGCACUGCCAUCAUUUUGUAUGGAUGGAAAUUAAGGUCCUCAUGCAAAAUCCUCCUCAAAGAUGUUUUGGAAAUGCCUAAGGCAGAAGCAGGUUUGCACGCUGAAUGUCGAGGAGACUGCAAAAUUGAUGCCCUAACAGCUUGGAUGUUUUCAGGCAUUCGUACAGUCCGAGGAUGGCCUGGAAAUUUUCAGUUCAAUGUUAUACCCGUCUGUCUAAAUUUAGCCAUCCACUGAAGAAUUGUUUUCCGAUUUGGGACGUCACCGUUGGGAGGAAUACUGAAGUGCAUUCAGAAGGUGCAUUGUGUAGUGAUGAUGGAUUCGUUGUUUUUGGAGAACACCUUGACAGUGAAAGCAAUGGUGAGCACCGGACCAAGGCAUGUUGACGACUGAAAACUACAAGGGACCACCUAUCAAAGGACCAGUUCCUCCACCCCAACCCACUCGGCUGCCUCUACCUCACAUAAUAACCUUGAGAAAUGUGCUACUUCAUUUUGGCUCACCCUGUAAAAGUAGACCUGUUGAUUGCAGAUAUUUCAUAACCAUUUUUUUAGUUGUACCUGACACUAUUAGUGAUACUUUUGAGAAACGCAUUCCAUCACUAAUAACAUUCAAAGUGCAUUUUUUGGUAAAAAUGUUACUGAAUUGUGUAAUGUAUUCUGCUGUAAUAUAUGUAUGUAAUAUAACUAGUUCUACAGAAAUAAGAAUUCUAAAAGAGAAACGUCUACUCUGUAUUGUGAAGUGAAGUAUGAUGAAUUUAUAACCAGUUAAAUCAAAGUAGCAGAAAAGGGCUAAAAGUGAGGCCCCUUUAGGUUAAAAACAGUCACUGGUUACCUCCAGAAACUCCUGCUCUUGUGCUCCGCUAUGUGUAAGGCUAGGCCAGUUACUAUUUGAGUACUGUAUCUUUUUAAGCUUGCUUUUUUAAUAUUAAACAAUAUGUUUUUGAGA